rnacentral:lncRNA from 1 species
GGGUGUGUGUGACAUUAGAGAGAAGAGUUUUUAUCAUGGAAAAAUGAGAAAAAGAGGGUGAGGCAUGAUCUCUUUUGGGCGGACAUCAAUCUGUGUGAAAAUCCUAGGUCUUCUUGCUAGGGUUUUGGGAAGAGAGAAAAGAGAGUUGAGAGAGUCUCACCUCCAUUUUUCUUCUACCAUAUUCUCCUCCUAAAUGUCCUUCUU